AUUGAACGCUGGCGGCAUGCCUUACACAUGCAAGUCGAACGGCAGCACGGGAGCAAUCCUGGUGGCGAGUGGCGAACGGGUGAGUAAUAUAUCGGAACGUGCCCAGUCGUGGGGAUAACGUAGCGAAAGCUACGCUAAUACCGCAUACGAUCUAUGGAUGAAAGCGGGGGAUCGCAAGACCUCGCGCGAUUGGAGCGGCCGAUAUCAGAUUAGGUAGUUGGUGAGGUAAAGGCUCACCAAGCCGACGAUCUGUAGCUGGUCUGAGAGGACGACCAGCCACACUGGGACUGAGACACGGCCCAGACUCCUACGGGAGGCAGCAGUGGGGAAUUUUGGACAAUGGGCGCAAGCCUGAUCCAGCAAUGCCGCGUGCAGGAUGAAGGCCUUCGGGUUGUAACGU
rnacentral:rRNA from 1 species